rnacentral:rRNA from 1 species
GAGACUGCCGGUGACAAACCGGAGGAAGUGGGGAUGACGUCAAGUCCUCAUGGCCCUUAUGGGUAGGGCUUCACACGUAAUACAAUGGUCGGUACAGAGGGUUGCCAACCCGCGAGGGGGAGCCAAUCCCAGAAACCGAUCGUAGUCCGGAUUGCAGUCUGCAACUCGACUGCAUGAAGUCGGAAUCGCUAGUAAUCGCGGAUCAGCAUGUCGCGGUGAAUACGUUCCCGGGCCUU